rnacentral:rRNA from 1 species
UACGUAGGCAGCAAGCGUUGUUCGGAAUUACUGGGCGUAAAGAGUGUGUAGGCGGUGCUCUAAGUUCGGUGUGAAAUCUCCCGGCUUAACUGGGAGGGUGCGCCGGAAACUGGAGUGCUCGAGCGUGGGAGAGGAAAGCGGAAUUCCUGGUGUAGCGGUGAAAUGCGUAGAUAUCAGGAGGAACACCCGUGGCGAAGGCGGUUCUCUGGGACGGUACUGACGCUGAGACGCGAAAGCGUGGGGAGCGAACAGG